ensembl:lncRNA LINC02165 long intergenic non-protein coding RNA 2165
ACAGCCAAAGGAGGAUCCUUUGCUUCAGAUGAUCCUGGAUCAUGGAGCCAUGAAGAUGUUGAUAGUUGGAUAUCAGGAACAGAUGAUGUCAAUCACUAAUGGAUCACAGUUGACCAGGGGAAACUAAAAUCAUGGGAAACAAAACCAUGGAUAAGGCAGUACUACUGUAUACAGUUGGCCCUCCAUAGCCAUGCACUCUGCAUCAGUGGAUUCAAUCAGCCAUGGAUAAAAAAAUGUUUGAAAAGUUUAAAAGAAUGGUUGUUUCUGUACUGAACAGGUUAGGUGUUCAAGCUGUGUUAAAUCACAUCCCUGAUGUUUAUGUGGUCAGGAUAUGUGCCCUUGAGUGACCAAGCAGAAGUCCAGGAUACUCCUUAAGGCUUGUCCGUCUAACAGGCUCCCAGGUGAUGCCAAUACUGAUGUUACACAGACCAUACUUCAAGGAACAAAGACUUAAAGCAAGUGUCUUCUUCUGGGGCCUGAGAAAAAUGUUUAUGUGAAGGUGAUUUAUUUGGUAAUAUGAUACCAGGGAAUAGGAAUACAGGGCAGGUAAGUGACACAGAGAAGGAAUAAAAGCCAAUACAAGGAUAGAUGAUCAAGUUGGCCGCUAGUGUGAAUAACUAGUGACCAGUCCCACUGGGAAUUUUUGCAGAGCUUUAUGAAAUAUAUGUCAAAAUUUGCUGCCUUGGGGAUAAUAGGGGGAAAAUUUCUAUCAGAUUUUGUUCCCAUUGGCCAAGGGUGGGUCCAUGAGCCCGCACUUCCAGGUUGCACAUGAAUGCUUGCAGAGACUUUUACUAUGACAGUCCCAUCUUUACACAUCAAAUGAAUCCCCAGAGUAUGAAACAGAAAUAGUUACAACAUGGACCAAGACAAUGUGCUGUUCAAGUUGCUCCUCCAGGAAACUAGUCAAGGCCUACUUAAAUCAGUUGUCACAGAAACUAUGAACGACUAAGAAGAUUUUGAAGUGAUGCAUGAGAACUCUAAGAUGCUUUAGUAUGACUAUACAAUGCCCUGAGCUGGAGCACUUGGCCACAAAACUCAUGUCUCUUGGAGGCAAAAGCCAAAUGACCUUUCCAGCAGUAUGCAACAUUGCUUUUCCCAAAGCAAAAUCAUGAUUUUGCCAUGCUAAUGGUAAAACCAUAGGCACAUUGCCAGACAAUGUUUCUAGGAAGAAAAGAAUGUUUUGUUUUGUUUUUCUUCUUUUAAGAUUAAUAGAUGACCUUUAAGGGACUGGUAAA